CAGCGUACUGAAGGCCUGUAUCCUAGGCUACACACUGGGGACUUGUUCCUCUGACCCUUGCCUAGGGGAAAGUCCCCGGACCUCGGGCAGAAAGUGCCGCGUGCCAGGGCGCGUAGACUUUCCCCGCCUCCCACUGUAAAGCCCGCCAAGAAGCACGUCCCGCUGAGCCGCGUGGUGCGGGGGCGUGGUCAGCUACUCUAGUUACGCAAGCAGUGCCUCUCGGCGCACCAACCACACGGGGCUCAUUCUCAGCGCGGC
rnacentral:RNase_MRP_RNA from 1 species